rfam:Ictidomys tridecemlineatus contig018598, whole genome shotgun sequence.
GGGGUUGUAGCUCAGUGGUAGAGCACUUGCCUAGCAUGUGUAAGGAACUAGGUUCAAUCCUCAGCACCA